AAAAAGAUCAAGUUCUGAAACGUAUGUAUUGAAAUUUUUCCGAAGUCUACAACUUAUUGCCAUGGAGCCAUAGUUAGACUUGUAGAAUCGCAACCCAAAUGAGAAAAUGUGAUUACUUCUUAAGGUUCUUGAGUUAACAAGGAGGGUUAAAAGGAGACUAUGUUGAAAAAUGAAAAAAAACUGAAAGAACUUUUCACACCACCCUCGUAUCAUUUUUUGUUGUUUGGCUGAAAGAAUGUUUCACCUACCGCGUGUUAAUUAACACAGCAUGAACAAUAGAUUGAUCGCGAUAUGAGCAUAAUGUAUAACGUCAAUGUAAAUGAAAUCUGACAUUUUGUUACAAAAAUCAUGAAUGUAGAACAAGAAUUAAAACAUCAAUGUUUUUCAGAAGAUGAACAGGUAAUGAGAGGUAACUCAAAGGAUGGCAUGACCCAUGAAGAAAUGAGAAAACUGAUUGAGAGAAACGAAACAGGGCAAGCCAGCGCAGCAAACGGCGGACUCACAGCCUACGAUACUAUGGCAGUGUAACUUGUAAGCAGCGAAGAAUCAAGAUUUUGACCAAUGCAUCAGUUAGAGAUCACUCCUUGAUUUAUCAGUUUGUUUUUUUGACUUUCAGUAAAUUUGAACAAGAAUUGAUUUCUUCAAAGGAGUGACCUCUAAGCUUUUUCGACUCAUACUGAAUACUCAUUAAAAUUUUUUGAGACUGAUAUUUCGCGGCAUCAAUUCUUUGGUUUUGGCUAGCAUCAACCUUACUCAAUUUUUGAAUAUAACCGCCAUCGUGAGUAUUCAGUGUGAUUUUUUUAUGUACCAAAUAUUUGUUUAAGUCUUUAAUUUUUGGUUUGGAGUUAAUUUUUGGGCCGUAAGAGCCGCUUAUACGAAUACGUACACAUUUUGCCAAUAUUUUGGUAACCGUAGGGUCCUCAAUUUAUUUGUUAUAUGGUGGCUCAAUGUGUCAUGUGAUAUUUUGUGGUUUGUGAAUGAUUUUUUGGGUUAAUGGUCAGGACGUUUGGGUUUUCAAGUCUACAGGUGUUGUCAUAAGUGCGCAGUUUCAGAAAUUGAUCAUACUGUAGAUUUUUUUGUAUAGUCAUGCUAUUUGUUUAUUUCUUUGCUUUAAUAGGUUGUUUUUGUUUCCCGUUUUGAGUAGUUUGUAGUGAACAGUUGGCGAUAUGAUUAGUUAUUUUCAUUAUAAAACUGUUUGAAGGUUGUGCGUCGCCAACUUGUAAUUAUAUAAAUGCUACGCAGAAAUAUAUAUAUAGCUAUAAGGGGUGAGCAUUAACAGUCAUGAUAUUUCCGGUCCGCAUAGCUAUUUUUGUCUUCUUCUGCAUUUACAAAUGAGUUCAGGCUGUUUGAUUGCUCAUCACCUAUUAUAUUUUUUUCUCGUAGGAGAAAUUAGGAAAGAAAUUAUUGAGUUUCAAAUUCCAUGAGAUAUAUCAUUGUCUUUAAAUCCUUGCAUGUGAAUUAACUAUUGUAGAUGUUGAAAAAUGAUUAUUCGAGGUGAAAGCAGAAUAAUACAGCAACAUUUUUUUAAUUUGCAAUUCUAAUCGUAUGUCUCAACGUUAUCGAUUCUAAUGAUCGAUCAUAAUACUCAGCAGGCAGAUAACUGAAAGCUUGCGGUUUCUUUAACCUCCUUAGGUAUAAGUAGAUAUAGAUGUAAUUUAUCAAUUUUAACCAUGUUGGUGGCAUUUUAGACUCAUCUUAAUUUCACAAAAUUCGAUAAUUUCAUUAGCAGCUGGGCCAUGACACAAAUGAUAUUAUUUGAUUUUUAAAUACCAUAAAUGUAAUGUGACACAUAAUUUUUGAUUAUAGUCCAUCUGACUACAAUCCGGAUCUGUAAUAAGCAAAGUUCAAUCAAAUGUCGAAAUAUUUUCUUUUAAAAACGUUAUUUGCUUAGCGUAAAUUGUGAACAAUCCUAUCGAUCAAAGAAUGUAAACUUUCACAGCCGUUGAUAACUAUGUGAAAGUUUUUUCCGUUUUUUUUCACCGUGGUCUGCAGGUUUCUAUGCCUGACGUUUCGUCUACUACUGCGGUAAACAUCAAAGGCGAUGAGGUAACGGCCGAAGUGUUCAUCUACCGCAGUAGUAGACAAAACUUCAGGCGUAAUAACCUGCAGACCAUGGCCACAAAACCCAGGAAAUUGCUUUGAAACAAUCUUAUUGAUGAUUCAAUAUUCAUUAUUCAUUAUUCCUACCAUCAUAGUUGAUUUUAUAGUCUCCAGGAAUGGUUGUGUUGAAAUUUAAUUUCUUCUGAUAUUUUCAAAAAUUGUGUAUCACAUGUAAUCAGGUUUUUCCACUAGUGUCAUAUUAAAUUAUCAAAAUUAAUUUGUCUUGUUGGGUAAAAGUGGUCAAAUUGAACUUUCUUAGCUACAUUUUUCAGUGGAAAUUGCUUAGACUAAUAAUUUAUUGUUCGAAGUUCCUAAGUAGCGUGCAGUUUGAUUUGCUAAAUAAACUACAACAUAUUCGAUUAUUUGUCAUUUUUGAAAUAACCUAGUCAUUCAUUCGAAUAUUUUUGUUAAUAACAUCUUGCAAAAAGUGGCAAAUAAUUUUUUUGUGAUAAUGGUUUGAAAUGCCAUUAGUAACUGUAUUGUAAGUGUGCUAUAUAUCCAGUAGUUUUAAGUGAUAACUAUAAUAUCUUCAAAUAUCUUAUAGUAAUACUUGAUAAUCUAUUGUUUUCAGCAAUAUUCAAUCAUAUGAUUCAUUAAUCCUUUUGUACACAAUUUUUCCUAUUUAAUCUUAUAUUCUUUAUAAUUUGGAAUGUGGCGUUGCAAAAAUUUGGAGUGUGUUUUAUACGAGUUUGCCAUUUUUGACACUCUAAUUUCUGAAUGCUUAUAUACCAAAGUUUUGGUUGAAUAUACAAAAUAACUAUACA
rnacentral:lncRNA from 1 species